GCAUUAAUGGGGUAGUGGUAACCUGGGUCGUUGCCAUUAGAAUGCAUAGCCGUUGCAUCGACCCGCCGGGGGUUCGAUUCCCCCUUAAUGCA